UUAUUGGAGAGUUUGAUCCUGGCUCAGGAUGAACGCUGGCGGCGUGCCUAAUACAUGCAAGUCGAGCGAAUGGAUUAAGAGCUUGCUCUUAUGAAGUUAGCGGCGGACGGGUGAGUAACACGUGGGUAACCUGCCCAUAAGACUGGGAUAACUCCGGGAAACCGGGGCUAAUACCGGAUAACAUUUUGCGCUGCAUGGUGCGAAAUUGAAAGGCGGCUUCGGCUGUCACUUAUGGAUGGACCCGCGUCGCAUUAGCUAGUUGGUGAGGUAACGGCUCAC
rnacentral:rRNA from 1 species